CACGGGUGCGUAACGCGUAUGCAACCUGCCCCCAUCAGGGGGAAUAGCCCGCCGAAAGGCGGAUUAAUGCCCCAUAGGCCCAGGGCGCCGCAUGGCGCUAAUGGGUAAAGCUCCGGCGGAUGGGGAUGGGCAUGCGUGCCAUUAGCUAGUUGGGGCGGUAACGGCGCACCAAGGCGACGAUGGCUAGGGGGUCUGACGAGGAUGGUCCCCCACACUGGUACUGAGACACGGACCAGACUCCUACGGGAGGCAGCAGUGAGGAAUAUUGGUCAAUGGGCGGAAGCCUGAACCAGCCAUGCCGCGUGCAGGAUGACGGCCCUACGGGUUGUAAACUGCUUUUCCCCGGGAAGAAUAAGCCCCUCGUGUAGGGGUGAUGCCGGUACCGGGGGAAUAAGGAUCGGCUAACUCCGUGCCAGCAGCCGC
rnacentral:rRNA from 1 species